AGACAGAAUUGAACCUAUUAGGUCACACACAUAAGAAAUCACGUAUGAUCGAUGUUAAGGAGACGAUAAAAGAAGUUUAUCAGAUGGGUUAAUUGUAACGAUCCAGCCCACUAGCAAAAAUAACUCGUUGGGCCCAACCACCGGACCAAAAAUGCUUAAGUCCAGUUAUUAUUACUAGUGUCUAAGUCUCUUAUAUACCCAAUCACAUCCCUAUUCAUAU
rnacentral:lncRNA from 1 species